GGUGGCUCAGUGGUAGAGUGCUUGCCUUGCAUGCAGGAAGCCCUGGGUUCCAUUCCUCAGCACCA
rnacentral:tRNA from 1 species